UGGACUGCGCGUGCUAUACAUGCAAGUCGAGCGGACAGAAGGGAGCUUGCUCCCGGAUGUUAGCGGCGGACGGGUGAGUAACACGUGGGUAACCUGCCUGUAAGACUGGGAUAACUCCGGGAAACCGGAGCUAAUACCGGAUAGUUCCUUGAACCGCAUGGUUCAAGGAUGAAAGACGGUUUCGGCUGUCACUUACAGAUGGACCCGCGGCGCAUUAGCUAGUUGGUGAGGUAACGGCUCACCAAGGCGACGAUGCGUAGCCGACCUGAGAGGGUGAUCGGCCACACUGGGACUGAGACACGGCCCAGACUCCUACGGGAGGCAGCAGUAGGGAAUCUUCCGCAAUGGACGAAAGUCUGACGGAGCAACGCCGCGUGAGUGAUGAAGGUUUUCGGAUCGUAAAGCUCUGUUGUUAGGGAAGAACAAGUGCAAGAGUAACUGCUUGCACCAUGACGGUACCUAACCAGAAAGCCACGGCUAACUACGUGCCAGCAGCCGCGGUAAUACGUAGGUGGCAAGCGUUGUCCGGAAUUAUUGGGCGUAAAGGGCUCGCAGGCGGUUUCUUAAGUCUGAUGUGAAAGCCCCCGGCUCAACCGGGGAGGGUCAUUGGAAACUGGGAAACUUGAGUGCAGAAGAGGAGAGUGGAAUUCCACGUGUAGCGGUGAAAUGCGUAGAGAUGUGGAGGAACACCAGUGGCGAAGGCGACUCUCUGGUCUGUAACUGACGCUGAGGAGCGAAAGCGUGGGGAGCGAACAGGAUUAGAUACCCUGGUAGUCCACGCCGUAAACGAUGAGUGCUAAGUGUUAGGGGUUUCCGCCCCUUAGUGCUGCAGCUAACGCAUUAAGCACUCCGCCUGGGGAGUACGGUCGCAAGACUGAAACUCAAAGGAAUUGACGGGGGCCCGCACAAGCGGUGAGCAUGUGUUUAAUUCGAAGCAACGCGAAGAACCUUACCAGGUCUUGACAUCCUCUGACAACCCUAGAAGAUAGGGCUUUCCCUUUCGGGG
rnacentral:rRNA from 1 species